rnacentral:rRNA from 1 species
GUUUGAUCCUGGCUCGAAUGAACGCUGGCGGCAGGCCUAACACAUGCAAGUCGAACGGAGUUAUAUUGUAGCUUGCUAUGGUAUAACUUAGUGGCAGACGGGUGAGUAAUGUAUAGGAAUCUACCUAGUAGUACGGAAUAAUUGUUGGAAACGGCAACUAAUACCGUAUACGCCCUACGGGGGAAAAAUUUAUUGCUAUUAGAUGAGCCUAUAUUAGAUUAGCUAGUUGGUGGAGUAAUAGCCUACCAAGGCAAUGAUCUAUAGCUGAUCUGAGAGGAUGAUCAGCCACACUGGAACUGAGAUACGGUCCAGACUCCUACGGGAGGCAGCAGUGGGGAAUAUUGGACAAUGGGCGAAAGCCUGAUCCAGCCAUGCCGCAUGAGUGAAGAAGGCCUUUGGGUUGUAAAGCUCUUUUAGUGAGGAAGAUAAUGACGGUACUCACAGAAGAAGUCCUGGCUAACUCCGUGCCAGCAGCCGCGGUAAUACGGAGAGGGCUAGCGUUAUUCGGAAUUAUUGGGCGUAAAGGGCGCGUAGGCGGAUUAGUAAGUUAAAAGUGAAAUCCCAAGGCUCAACCUUGGAAUUGCUUUUAAAACUGCUAAUCUAGAGAUUGAAAGAGGAUAGAGGAAUUCCUAGUGUAGAGGUGAAAUUCGUAAAUAUUAGGAGGAACACCAGUGGCGAAGGCGUCUAUCUGGUUCAAAUCUGACGCUGAGGCGCGAAGGCGUGGGGAGCAAACAGGAUUAGAUACCCUGGUAGUCCACGCUGUAAACGAUGAAUGUUAAAUAUGGGAAGUUUUACUUUCUGUAUUACAGCUAACGCGUUAAACAUUCCGCCUGGGGACUACGGUCGCAAG